GAUGAACGCUGGCGGCGUGCCUAAUACAUGCAAGUCGAGCGAACAGAUGAGGAGCUUGCUCCUCUGACGUUAGCGGCGGACGGGUGAGUAACACGUGGAUAACCUACCUAUAAGACUGGGAUAACUUCGGGAAACCGGAGCUAAUACCGGAUAAUAUAUUGAACCGCAUGGUUCAAUAGUGAAAGACGGUUUUGCUGUCACUUAUAGAUGGAUCCGCGCCGCAUUAGCUAGUUGGUAAGGUAACGGCUUACCAAGGCGACGAUGCGUAGCCGACCUGAGAGGGUGAUCGGCCACACUGGAACUGAGACACGGUCCAGACUCCUACGGGAGGCAGCAGUAGGGAAUCGUCCGCAAUGGGCGAAAGCUUGACGGAGCAACGCCGCGUGAGUGAUGAAGGUCUUCGGAUCGUAAAACUCUGUUAUUAGGGAAGAACAAAUGUGUAAGUAACUAUGCACGUCUUGACGGUACCUAAUCAGAAAGCCACGGCUAACUACGUG
rnacentral:rRNA from 1 species